rnacentral:lncRNA from 1 species
CAGGCCACAGGUAGAGAGAGCAGUGAACCGUAAGAACCAUUCUUUUCUUUUCUUUUCUUUUCUUUUUUUUUCUGUGUUAUCUCAGUUUAAAAGUGAGCUCGGGGACUUGGUUUAACUCUCUAAGCAGUUUUAAAAGUGUUCUGCAGCACGAUACUUCAAUCCUAUGGAAUGUCCCAAUACUGCCAAAUAAAGGUCUGAAGCUGUGCUUUGACAAGCUGUCUCCAAAGUACAAGUCGGUGGAAGAAAACCAUCUGUGGCUCAUGCUGAACUGAGACUUUUUUAACACCUUCUUCCUGGUCAGUGUCUACCUGGUGUUGCUCACUUAGGCUGCUGCUGAUCUCCAAAAGGUAUUGAUGAUUCGG